CCAGUGUACACGCAGAUAGUGUUUACAGACUAUGGACAUGGUCUCCUGACGAGAUGCAUGGAGGAAUUGCAAUGGCCGUCAGUGCUGUGAGGCUAAAAUGUGAUGCACACGCCGCAUGGCCGACUGUGUGUGAACUCACCUGGAGACUCGGACAAGGCUCCGGGGGGCGUGGGGGUAGAGCUGUCGAAGAAAUCUGCACGGUGUCUUCUCUUCAGGUGACUUCUGAGGUUGGUGGUGUUUCCACCUUUCGCCAGCACUAUUUUCCUGCACAAGCGACACACGGCCUCUCCGGAGUUCAGCGGCUGCCCCUUCUCAUCCGCCUUCAAACCGAAGUACAGCCACACGAUGGACUUGCUCCUGGGUUUACUGAUGAGAUCCAUGUCUCUGCGGGUCACUGCUCCUCAGUGAUGGAGGCAGUCAGCGCUCACUUGGCUGCAGUUUGAAAAAAACACGUCAAAACAACAGCCGCAUGUAUUCCGGUGCGUGUCUACUCGCAGUGUUAGGGUACCGGUGCUGGGAGCGGUCAAAAAGGACGAAAGGCCUUUUUUCCCUCAAUUAUUUAUUUAUCAAAGCUGAUGUAAUGUGUAAUUUAAUAUAAUGGAGACGAAAAUAAAAAAUAAGUGCACAUUA